rnacentral:rRNA from 1 species
AGCAGCCGCGGGAACACCGGCGGCCCGAGUGGUGAUCGUGAUUAUUGGGUCUAAAGGGUCCGUAGCCGGUUUGGUCAGUCCUCCGGGAAAUCUGAUAGCUCAACUAUUAGGCUUUCGGGGGAUACUGCCAGACUUGGAACCGGGAGAGGUAAGAGGUACUACAGGGGUAGGAGUGAAAUCUUGUAAUCCCUGUGGGACCACCUGUGGCGAAGGCGUCUUACCAGAACGGGUUCGACGGUGAGGGACGAAAGCUGGGGGCACGAACCGGAUUAGAUACCCGGGUAGUCCCAGCCGUAAACGAUGCUCGCUAGGUGUCAGGCAUGGCGCGACCGUGUCUGGCGCCGCAGGGAAGCCGUGAAGCGAGCCACCUGGGAAGUACGGCCGCAAGGCUGAAACUUAAAGGAAUUGGCGGGGGAGCACAACAACGGGUGGAGCCCUGCGGUUUAAUUGGACUCAACGCCGGACAACUCACCGGGGGCGACAGCAAUAUGUAGGCCAAGCUGAAGACUUUGCCUGAAUCGCUGAGAAGAGGUGCAUGG